GACUCAAUUACAUGCACGACUUGAAACACUGGUUCUCAGGUUUUAUACUUCUCUAUAGUUUCACUUUCCUUUGUGACUCCAGGUUAAAUCUACUCUCUCGAACAGUUCAUUUUACGUAAGGAUAGAAGAGCAGCUCUUCUGGUUCAUAGCAAAGAUCCACAUAGCUCUACACUUUCUCUCAACAGUGGCAAGUAAUGAACACCUAUGACAAACAGGGCAUCUGCUGUCAACCAUUGGAAGAGGGCUAAAAGGACAGGUACAACUGUUCUUUUGUUCUUCAGCUUUGACUGGAAAUAAGCGUUGUUUAUAUACAGCAGUAUCUACUGCUCCUUGAGCUCAUCCAAGGGUGACUGGAGUACAAUAUGAAACAGAGGAAGUGCUUCUGUGUUGAGUCAAGCUGUGGAAGUCCUCUCUGCAAAAGACUGAACUUUUUCACAUUGAAACUGAAUCAAAUAUCACCUCCUUUACCUGGUCAUGACUACAAGAUGGAUAGAGAUCGAAUCAGGGGAAAACCCCUCUUCUGGUCACCAAUGCAAGUGAUGAUGUCAGCUGUUCCUACAGCAGGUGGAAUUCUUAGCUGGUGACUUCAGAACAGAGCCAUGUUUAUACUGGCAUUGGACUCUUCCUGGCUCUAAGACACAGAUUUCUUUUUAGUGAAUCUUCAGUAGCCCUAUGUUAGUUUGGUGGCUGACAAGAAAGAAGGCUGCUAUUUCAGAAAAAAUGCAGAAGUGGUGACAGUUAUGUGGGCAGCAGGAAAAUCAGAAGCAGUGCACUUUUUGGAAAUGAAAGACAGGCCUUGAAGUUACUCCUAAAUCAAGGAACAGAAGAAAACUAUCCAGUUCCUGAGACCAGGUACCCACCUUAGCUGCCCCCUAACACCAGCUUGGCUGGAGUUUGCCCUAAAAACACAACUACUGCUAUUCCACCGACACCUCAGCAGCGAAGCCUGGAUGUAUAAACCUGCAAGGAGCUGUGGCACACUCCAGCAGGUAAUCUAGAACAAGGUGCAAGUCUCUCCCUAGGGCCUGAAAUGCACUGCUUCUAUAAAUUUUACUUACCAGAUGAAUAAACAUCCGGGUUGCUGUUUAACUGGAAGUCUGCUACGUGCUUCGCGUUCUUGUUGUGUGCUUGUGACAUUCAAGCUAUUGUUUCAUUAUUUUGUGGCCCCCAAGACGCUCUUUGAUAACAAAGCGGUUCUGCUUUGCCUCGGGCAGGGUGUCACUCUGUGUGUGUGGCACAGAGGUGAGAAAACGGAAUUGCUCCAGCACCUACACAAGCACACGGCAUUACUGGGUUGUGAGAUGUAACUCCCAGUCUCAAAUAUUAUUACUUAUGAAUUUUUUCCAUCACAGUUAAUAUUCUGAGUAGUUUCAAUUCUCAUCUAUGGGUAGAAUUUUCAAAACCACAAAGUGUCAGCCUAACUCUGCUUCCACCAAAAUCAACAGCAUUUUAUUAACUUUGGGUUUAGGUGAUGGUUGCGCACUAUGAGGCCUUUCAUCUUCUAUUUCGAAAGCCAGAAAGAACUUCUAAACAGAAGACCCACUGUGGAAGUCAUUCUGGCUAAAUUAAAUCCUUCUUUUUGACUCUGACUCUCAUUUGUCAGAAUAUUUUAAGUGCUAGGGAAGGUAUCUGACUAUGAACAUUUCAGACAGAUGGGGAUGUAAAGCUGCGUUAGAAAUACAGGCAGGUCAGCCAUUGAAAGAGAUAGAACCUGCAGAAUCAUAUAAAAAUUAAGUGUCUAUCUACCAGUGUAAAUAAAACUCAAGUUCUCUUAUCUCUAGAGCUCACAGGAGCUGCUUUUUAUGAAAGUCUCAUAUCUUUCUGUGCUGUGCUUCAAGGGCUUAUAGAAAAUUGCUUUUGACCUGCCAGUCCUGAAACCUCAUUCGCUGACAACUUCUGGCACUUUAUCCUAAUGCUGAAAUCAUCCUUUUAAAAUUAAAUGAUUGUACCAUUCUCCAACAUCCAGCAUGGUCCUCUAGAGUUUCACGCCUGGUCACAGGGAGGGUGGUUAAGCACACGAACAGGUGCCCAGAGAUGUUGUGUGUAACAAAACCCAACUGGGCAAGGCCUGAGCAACCUGAUCUGACCGUGACACACUCCCUGUUUUGGGCAGGAGCUUGGACUAAGCGACCUCCAGAGAUCUCUUCCAACCUCAGUUCGUCCUGGACCAAAUGAUUCUGCUUCUUCUUUCCUUAUAUAACUUACUGCUAAGGGGUCUCACAUAAAAUGCAGCUAUCGCAGCUCUCUCCUGCUAGUCUCAGCCUUCUGCAGCUUCUUCCCCGGACUUUUCCUCUGCCAUCCUAAUGGUAUUUUCUCAUGAUGUCUAGCCAUCAGCUUUAAAGCCAACAGAGACAGAACUUUAAGACUUUAUCCUAAAAAUCUUCUCCACAAUCUCAGUCAUCAACAAAACACUAACAUCUUCAGCUCACUGUUAGGUGCCAUCUUUUACUUAUACAGGUCUGUAAACCUACAUAUUCAAGCUGUAUGUAAACAUUGCAGUUUCUUUGUACAUCAGAUUUCUUACACUCCUGCUUUCCUUUCAGUCAUCAGGGAUUUAAGACAGGGACUCAGAGAUCUGAGAUUUAUAUUUGGUAUUAUAUCUACCUCGAUACAUCAUUUUGUGGGUUCGUUGUUGUUGUUUGUUUGUUUCUCUGCAAUCUUUGAUGACUCACUGAAGAUAAUCUAAAGUAUCACCAAUUUUUUGCUUUCCAUUAUUUUUUUAUUUUGUUAAAAGUGUUUAUAUCCUCAGUUAAUUGAUAAAAGUAAUUUCUGCAAGCUAAAAAUGAAGAUUAAUUCCAAGAUCUUAUCUCUCUUUCCAGUUCUCAUAACCCAUCUUUAUUAAUGGAUAACAGGAAGGGUGGUAGCAAAUAUACUAGAUUUGAGAUUCAUAGAAUUUGGGCUUAUUUCCUGCAUUUCAGUAGGGCUGCAGUGCAGAGCUUCAUAUGAAUUAGUUCAGAGACAACAGUAGUUCAGCUGGAGUACAUGAAGAGUUUGAAAUGUCUAAUUUACAUCGUGAAAACAGAAUUGUUUAUUUAAAGCCACCUUUGGUAUCUAUUUACCUGUUAAAGUCUAACGGGUAAGGAUAUCCAAUGGCUAUGGUAAAAAUUGCACCUCAGGAAAAUGGGGAUGAAGCUAUUUCCUCCCUCUUACCCUUCUUCAUCUGCUUAUGCUGAUCUUAAGAUCUUUGCAGCCAGCAAUAUAUUUUAUUUGUUUUUUGCAAAGCAUAACUGCAUAUCCACUCUUGAAUGACUGUAGGGUUUUAAGCAGAAAUUAAGAAAAACACGAAGAGGUUUUACUGCUUCAAGUUUUAAAGGGCAGCCUUUUAUAAAAUGCAUCUUUCUUUAUGCUGGAGCCUUUCAGAAGAGAUUCCUAUUUUCUAAGAGAACUUUUCUCAUUUCUUCUUGGUCCUGUAAGUAAGGCUAGGAAAUGCAGCUGAAACUAAAAUCUUCCAUACAGUUUCUGGUUUCUGUGCAUAUUUUUGAAUAUCAGGUGACAUAUGUGGGUGGGGGAACUUCAAGAUUAGCCUUAAUCAAAUCUCAGCUUUUGCUGGAACUUCCCAAAGCCUUUCUCACCCUUUGCUCCUGACUAAAACAUUUUGCUAGUUUUGGGUGCAUUCCAAUUAGAAACUAGAAAUUUUGGUUUUCAUUUGUUGUCUUGCAGGGUUCCAAGUACUUCCAAGUUUCAUUUCAUCACACAGAUCUAUCUCUUUAGUCUUCCAUCCUGAAGUUAGGUGUAAAAUGUUACCUCUGUCUCUGAGAUAUAGACCACAUUCAAACAAAUCUUCUGGUGAUUUCCAAAAGCCUUCUAGUCUGAAUAGGGAAGAAAAAAUUGAUUUUAUACUGCAGGCAAUGGAAACAAAAUUCACAGGAUUGAAGCAGUCUGAAUCAAUACUGACAGCAUCUUCUUGGUACCACUUUAGAAAGAAAAGAUGAAAGAUAGCUUCACUAUGUUUGUGUGUAGAAAGGUCACUCAUUCCAGUAAUGAUCAGCAGAAGAACUUUCUAAUAUAAGAGGAUGGGUCUGUAAAGUGAGAGCUAGAGAGAACAAAUAAUCCAGAACAAUGUAAACUCUUUUAACUCUCUUCUUGGAUGCAAAAAAUUAAUCUCCAUGAAAGGCAAGGGAAAAGGAAAAUAUAAAUUUAGAGCUAGAAUUUAUGAUCAGAAAGAAAAUACUUGUGGAAAGAGGUUGAUUUCACUCAAAAAAGCCCAGUGAGGCAAACGUGUUAAGAUAUCUAGUGUCUAACAGAGUGGGUCUCCUUUCUGGUUGCGAACUUUAAGGAUUACAGAAUAUGUGCUAAAUCAUACCAGAAGCCAUAAAUUUCUUUUAAGUGAUAACUGAUUAAAUAGACUGUGAUUUUCCUCCUCAUUUUAGCUUGCUUUCAGUUGCUCAUGCCUUUUCUUUAGCUUUCUCCUCCUUCUCACCUCGCAAGUAGAGGUUUUUAUCUGCUCUCCUCAUUUAACUUCUUCUCUUGCUAUCACGAUCCUUCCCUAUUCCAGCUUCUAGUCUAUUUUGCAUGUCUUUAUAUCACUCCCUAUCCCUUUUUCUUAACCUCUUUUCUGUCUGUGUUUCUCCUCACAAUACAAAUGACCUUGAUUACAUUUUAUCCUGAACUGUGUUAUUUCUACAGUUUUUUUCUCUCAUCUCAUUUGGAAUAAGAUGAAUUAGUGAGCAGGUAAAUAUAAUUGUUAUUAAUAAGGCAAAAUGCCUAAAAUCAUGGCCUGUAUUUAUGUACAGGAAAUUGAUAGAAAGAUGAGCAUCAAAUUUCUCUCUUCAAAAUGAGUGCAAUGUUGACAUAGCUCUUCCUGUGGAUUUUAAAUGUGUUUUUCUGAACUCUAUCAAUUAUUUCUAGUUGUUAAUUUCCAAUAUCUGUGUUAUUUUUCUUCCAUUUUCACCAUUUACCUUUAUCAGUUUGGGGUUGUUUCAACUGGUUUGGGGCUUGGGUUGGGUUUUAUUGGGUUUGUUUGUUUGUUUGUUUGUUUUUGUUUUACACCAAACUGGCUAGUCAGGUUUUAUUUUUUUUACAUGCAUUUUCACUUAUUUUGACUAAUUCAUCCUAUACUACCAGUCAACUCUCUAAACUAACUACAGAUGUUUCCUGCAGGCUUUAUACUUGGAACAUGGAAGAGCUCUUUCUUUUAGAAUUAUUUAGCAGUGUGGUCUAACUUAGCAAGUAGACCUAAUUAAUGAUUUCAGAUACUCCAAGUUUGUUGAACAUGGCACCUAUAAGCACUGUUUAGAUUUGCUUUUUUAAUUACAUCUUAGGCCUCCUCCAGUUCUAUUCUUGGCAAUUGAAUUCAACCAAACUAUUUUCACCAUAGUCUCUAGUGACUUCUUAACUGAAGUUUACAAUUCUAGUGCUGCAGGCUUCCUGUUCUUGGUCUGCCAGUUGUUCUUGACACAACUGUAAUGUAAUUUCUGAAAAUUUGAUGCUCAUUGGCUUCAGGGUCUCCAUUCUCUCCUAAUUCUCCUCCACGCUCUGUAACAGCUCACAAAGCUAUUUGGAGACAUCUUUAUCCCACUCCAGCACUGCAAGGGGGAUGGGGUGUUCUUCAAACCCUGGGUUUGUUUCCCUUCUCUUCUUCUGCCCCUUAUCUCUGAAUAAUCACUCCCCCAGUGCGCUUAACAACUUCAUGCUCAUCGCUUACAAAUCCACAUUUCCACUCUAGGCAUGAAUCAUUUUAGCCAAGCUAACAACUCAGCCUGUCUUUCUGACAACUCACCGUGGAUGUGUAAUCAUCAGUGUAAGCUUGAUAUGGUUAAUCAUUCUCCCCCAGUAAAUUCUUUUCCUAGCUUUGGCAACACAAUCUUGCAAAUGGUUCAGCAAAGACAAACUUUCUACCUUGAUAUUUUGAUUUAAUGUCCUUUCUUGAGAACUCUCUCCUCUUAUUCUUGCUUUUCUAUCAUAUUAAGUGUAACCCUACUAGUCUUCUGUUUGUAGGACCUGUCAUAGUUUAGUCCUAAUCUACUUACUGCCUUGUUUGCUGUUCAAAUGCUGAGUAUGAGAGGUUCCUUCCAAAUAACUUGUGAUACAGCCACCUGUCACAUUUUGAGAUACACACCUUCGUACUUUCUGCUGUCCUACUGACAUGCACCUUCACAUUUCCCUUUGAAAUGCUCCUUUGUUGUGAGUCCUAAAAAAAUAUGUUAUAGUGAGAUCACUUCAAGUUCACUCUUCCGUACCAGACUGUGCUCCUCUGUUAUCUUUUUGAGUUAAUCUUAGAGAACCACAUUGAUAGCAAUGGGUUUUGCAGUACCUGGGUAAAAAUUCUAAUUUUAAUAGAAAUAUAUGCACAUCAAUUAAAAAUUAAUAAAUAAUACGUUGUAUUUGUAUUAAUUCUAGGGUAUUCUGCAGUAUUCCAAACACUAUAACAGUUCUGUAAAUUACACGUUUUCCAAAAAAAUAAAAUUGCUUUUAAAGCAUCCUGGAUGAGGUUUUUAAAUGCUUGCAUAAUUCUGAUGAUUGUAUACAAUAUGAUACAGUUUACUCAUACUCAUUUACCAGAGCAGAUGCAUCAGGAGCUCACUUAUUCCACUACAGUCAAUGGAGUAUACCGUAAAGACUUUACUGCAAUGCCAAAGUGUUGCACAAAGCCUAUUGUAAAUGAGCUUUACUGUAAUUUCCUGGCACACAACCAUACAACAUAAAUUUUCAGUCUGGGAAAUCACUAAACAAUAAAUCAACAAACAAAAUGGAGAGAUCUGAUGAGCUCCCUAACACUUACAUUUUAGCAGAUUUUUUUAUAACUCAGGAUUCUGUGCAUUGCAGAGAUACAUCUACAUGUAUCACUACUGGAAUAUGAUAUGAGUGCCAGGGGAGAUGAUUAUGCUGUUGCAUGAGCAAAAAAAAAGCUUUCUACAUAUAGAGAUUUAUUUCAUCAGUGCAGAUUCUUGAUCUAUAUAUAAGAUUUUACAACAGUAUCAUUGGAAAGAACAGCUACAGAGGAAUGUCCUAAAAUUGCUGGAAAAUAAAAAUGUGAAUUGGCAACCAAAGAACAUCUAUAAAUAUAUCAUGUAACCACUUACUAGACGGAGAUACAUAUAAAAUUUUUAGAAAAAGGUGGCAAUGAUAUAGAAAUAGCUUAAGAAAUACAAAUUCUACAUACUAUACAAACUUCUUAAGAAGCAGAAGUAAUUUAACUUCUAGAUUUUUUUUUUUCCUAAUUUAAAUGAACGAGCUCGCUCUUGUUAUAUGCUGCGUGGCCUGCUAUAAUUAGCGCAAUGCUACACCCUGCUGAGUGACAUACCUGAGUUGUUUAAGGAGAUGCCAAGGUAAGGAAAAUAAAAGAAACCUGUGCUUUUCACCUUUCAGGGAAGUUCUUAUGGGAUCCAAAACUGAUCAACAUUUUUGAUAACACUUGAAAAGUUCUUGAUGCAUCUUCUGCUGCCACCUAUUUUAGAGUUUUAAUAAGAUAGGAAAAACUCACAAACCUACCCAGCGCUGUACUCCUUCUAGUCCUUCAUCUGUAGUAAGACCAAAUCACCAACACUUCCAUUGUCAUUCAGCUAGAAAAUUAUAAUUUUGUCUAAAGAUCCUGUGAAAGAAAUAGAAAAACUUCCAUUUGUUUAGAUAGGUUCAAAACUGAGGUUCAAAAAGACUUCUUUUUCUGAGUUGUUCUCACAGAACAAACUAUUUAAAUGGAGGCAAAUUUACCUAUAAAAUCUGAUUCUAAACACAGCAUAAGGUGACAUCCACACUUAACCUGACCUAGUGAUACGUUAGAUCAAUGGCAUGAUGCCAUAUAGGUAUCUUCCCUGGAUAACCUCUUAGCAUCUCGUGACACAAUGCAGUAGAUAAAGAUUCCACCUCCCAACUAGUGAACCUAAGCUUUAUUCCUCAAUUCUGCGAACAUCAGAGGCCUCCUCUGUUCCUCUCAUCUAGCUAAAACCUGACAUGUUUACCCAGAUUUCCACAGUGCUUUAUCAGGCAAAAAUUCCCAUCACUUUCCACAACCUGCUUUCCCCAACUUUCCAAACUUGCUGUUUCCAAGGAGUGGGACCAAGGUGGCCAUCUUGUUUCAUCAUGGAACAACUAGUAGGCCUACCUCUCAAACCUACAGGUGUUCCAAGUCCAGGUACAUCUACUGGUGUGCACUGAAGAUUGUCUACACAAUUGCUUCUCUGAAGCAAUUUCUAGGCCCUUUACACCCCUCACUCCUCUUGUCCAGCUGCCUGGGACUCCCCCAGCUGUGGCUGAAUGUGGAUUUCCCCCUACAUGGGGAAGUUCCCCAGAGCAGAUGGGACUCACAGAGAAAUGAAUGCAAGUCUCCAGUUGUACUGAGUAUUGAAGAGCUUCCCCAAGGGACUAACAGAGGGACAACGAACUUCUUCCCUUGAACGAGCUCCUUUUUUAAUCCUGUGCUCACACUUAAUUAAAAAAAAAAGGCAAACUUUGAAAAAUAUGUACAAGAAUCAUGAUAGUCCAGCAGAGGAUGCCUAAACAGAAGUGGAAGCAGGGAUAAAGAGUAUCAUGCGUGCAGAUAGGACAUUUCUUCCAAAUACUGGUUUUGGGAAAACAGCCUGGGCUUUUGGGAGCUUGACCUCAAUAAAGACAGAUGAAAACCCAAAGAUCACAUUCUGCUCUAUCACACUUGAGAAGCACAGGGAAGAGCUGAAACUCCCACAAAAGCUGGAAGAAGGUUGGCCUAUUUAACAAUUUUCAGAUCCAACACACGAUGUCUCUGGGGAAGAUAACUCAGACCAAGAGGCCAGGAUAAACCAAUCCAACUGACCUUGGAAGGAGUCUGACUGUGUCUGCAGAAACAGCUUUGUUGUUAAUGAUGCUCCUUUCAUGAAGCCGCUGCCCUACUGCUUAGCCUGAUUACAACACAUAAAUCCAGUCCUGCUUCCAGAAGAGGCAAUAGGAGUUCGACCUCAAUGGGAUAAUGAAAACUGAGUUCCGUACUGUAACAGACAUUGUUCUACUGCGUUCAGUUUAACCCCACCAAAAUGUGGGUGAGUGCAGGAGAUAAUCUCUUCUUUUGGGGUUAUUUUCACUCUAUUGUCUUCUGCUUUGAAACUUCCCCUUUGUUCCACUCUAUACUAUGUUCUGUCUUCACAAUUCACACACUUUCUAUUCUCCAUAUUCUUCUUCUUUCAUUUUGGUUUAAUGAUUCACCCGCAUGUUCUUCAGGGUCAAGAACAGCUUCACAUGAUAUGAUGUGUGAAACGUGGGGGCAUUUACAGGAACUUGGAAGCAUUUCUAUAACCAUUCCUAUCAAGAAAGGAGCUUUGUAAAUCUGAAUUUGGUUUUUUUUUUUCAGAUAAAGUAGUUUCACAGAGUGUCUUCAGUGGUUUCCCUUUGUUGAAAGAAAGAAACUAAAAAUAAUCAUUAUUAUAUCAUAAUGGUAUGAUCUGAAUAGUUUCGGAACAAUCUUUAAUUAGCUCAAUGCUUUUUGUGUCUGAUAGUGACAUCUUUUGUUUAUACCAAAGUAGUGCAACCAGUAUUCUUUUAUUUGGGUCAUUGCUUUGAAGGGUAAACUUUGUAGCAGCAACUCAGUGGAUGCACAUUACAUAGUAUGAAUUCUUUCACCCACAAUUCCAGUUCUGCCUUUUUCUCUUGUGUUAGUGAUGAAAUUAAUAUUCAGACAAGCACUGAAAUUCAUAUCUGGACUUGUAAUUGAAUCAGAUCCUGGAGCUUCUCACUCGACAUCCCACUUUCUUCCUUGCUUCUACACUGCAUCUUGAGAUAAAAAUCUUCUACUAGAUCCUUAUGCCACAGAAACUAAUUCAUGCAAAGUUAUUACUUUCUCCCCUUAUUUUAAGAAGGCAAGAGUGAGAAAGAGCCAUAGGGAAAAUCUGUAUUAAUAGUUUCCAGUGGGUGUCUCCCAAUAUACCUUGUCAUAAUCCUAAUCAGGGACUGACUUUUAUGUGAAGAGUAUGAAAAUGGAAGAAUUUUUAAAAUAAAACUAUGAAUCUCAACUCUAAUAUUCCCCUUUUUGCCUGCACAGAUAGUUUAAUAGUAGCUUAGUCACCAAAGAAAAAAUGAACUUUAAUCAAUCACGUAACCAAAAAUCCUAGAAGGAAAAAAUGCUGUUGAGAGUAAAAUAGAGUAAUCUUGCUAUUUUGCACUAAGGAACUUUUUUUUUAAGACAAUAAGGCAGUUAAAUUAAUUUCAGUUAGAGACUGUACAUGACUUUACUCACACUGGUGUUGCCUGGAUAAAUGUGGGUCCAGAUUUAGUCUUUCACAGACUAUUAUGUUCUCCUUCACUUCAGUUUGAUGAAAUAAGCAGCAAACAAACAAUAUAAUGAAAUAUUUAGAUCUAUUACAAAGGAAUAUGACUCUUAUUUGUGUUAGGUAGUGCAUCGAGAUCAACACACAGGUAUUCAUGCCAAGCCUUUUCAACAGCAAUCUGUUUGUAGUCCCUGUCCUAGAGUCUUGCUCAGUUGUGGAUUUGAACGUAUCCAAAAUCUCAGUGAAAAAUACCCCAGAUGCAAGUUGAAAUUCUAUGAAAUGGCCAUACUUUGUUUUACCUCAGUGAAUGAUCCAAGUCAAGCUCUUCAAGGGAGUCAGCCAUCAGGAGGCACCUUUUGGUAAGCCUGACACACAGCCUGAGGCUAUUGUUAUCACGCUGAUCUUCAGUACAUAACUUAUUUCAAACUGCUAGGCAGCAAGUCUGGGUACUAAAGGCCAAAGCAAGAGUAAAUGCUGCAUAAUUUAAAUCAAAUAUGUUUAUAUUUGUUAUAUAUAUUAUAUAACUUCAAAUAUAUUCUAACCAGUGUAGCACAGUUUUGGGUGAAACCAGCACCUAUUUCUAGUCCAAUGCCAUUGCACCAAAACCCCUUGACAGGUUUGACUUUUCAUCUCCACCAUCGCUGCCUUUGCUUCCCUCUCUGCAACUCACCCUGUUCUAAGGGCAAAUUCCCAGAGACCUCAGUUCCCCUGUUCAUGAUUUUCUCCAGAAGGCAUCUGCCAGUUGUUAGCAACAAACAAGGAUUUAUUUUCAGACUUCAGACUGGUGGACCUUUCUUCCACCAGCCACAAUGUGUUGCUUACUCAGGGACAAAUAGCUGUGUGGCAACUGAAAGGAGUGAGCCAGUACUUUUGCCACCUGAACAAAAGUGAAAAAAUGGACACAAUGCUGUGUCCAUGUGGGAGGCUGACACCUUGCAAAUGGAGCCAACAGAAGAACCAGCCACCUUCUCUGCUUCCCUGAGUGGCCGUGCUGGACCUGUCAACCAGACUGUGCAAAGCAGUUGUACCCACACCCAAAGCAUGGAAAAUCUCUACAGUGCUGUGCUAGGUUAAGAAUAGGGACCCCCUUGCAAUUAUAUCUGCAACUUUUCUCUGCUCUGAAAACUCUUCUGAGUGGGAGAAGUGAGCCGAAGCAUAAAGCUGGCUUAGCUCCUGAAAGUGCCAGAUGGGAACUGGAGACAAAGUUUGCCGUAAGCUACAAGCCACAGAGAACAACUUUCCAGGAAGGGAAAGUCCCAGAAACUACCAGCAGGAAAAAAGUCUGUGAGAAAAACAAGUCAGCCUCUUCCAACCAGAACUGGCCUCACUUCAGGUAUCAUUGAACCUUCAUUUUCUCAUUCCCCUGAAAUUUUGAAGGGCAUGACCAAGUACCAGACAUAGAUGAAAGUAACCAAGCAGCUUACCAUUUUCCAAAACCUCUGCAGUAUCUGUAGGAUGUGCCUUUCCUUCAUGUUUGUGCCAAACACCUUCUAAAGGAAUUAUACUAGCACUCUAGGAUGCACACAAACCAUUUGCUAUUGAUUCAAAGCAUCAGUCUUAUCUACUUGCUGUAGCAGGGCUGCAGUGAUUUUCAAAUCAUUUCAUACUGGCAAACGCACCAGAUAAUGACAGCUAUUUAAAGGAAGGCCACACAAUUUCUGCAUGCUAACCAGCACAAGCAGAUUCCUCAUAGUGCACAGAGGCAAAAGAAAACGUUCUACAACAUGGCCAUUUCUAUUUUCUCUGCUGCCAAGUCAGUAUCAUAUUUGCUUUUUGACUGAUCCCUGAGAAACUUCUAAUUGCAACACUGCAUUUUGCUAUUUUCCCACUACCUCCUACUUGAAACCUGGAGAAAAGCACAGAUGGUAUAAAAAUGAUCCCCAAAUAUGCAGCACUUGCAAGAUAUCCAAAGCUAUUAAGUUUCUCUUUUGCCAGUCUCCCUCUGAAGAGUGCUGGGCAACGUAAUUCAUCUCAGUGCUCAGUCUAAUGCAAGAACAAUUUGUUUUUCAGAAGAGUAUAGUUAAGGUCAUUGUAUCAAACACUAUGCUAGUGGAGUCAUUCAGAUACCAUAAAACAAGUGUUAAAUUUUGCUCACAAUCUUCUGCAUGCUCUUCAAGAAGAGAGACUGGGUGGGGGGCAGAGGGAUUCUCCUGGGUUGGAGAUCAAGUGGUAACAUUUAGAGUUUUCUAUAAUCACUAACCUCAUCUUGACCUGUGAGUUUCAGAGAAUGCAUGUGGCACCUUUAUCAUCCUCAUUACCUAUUGCCUCUCACUUGCAGAGGAUGUGGGUGCUGUGGGCUACCAGCAAAUGUUGGUAGAAUACGUUCCUCUUGCUGGAGAGCACAGUUCACAGUGAAACUAACUGUUCAUGAAUAAUUCUAUACCACAGCCUGGGACCUUGGUCAUAGCUGCAUGGGAGACAUCAGGCAAGCCAAAAUGCAAGCGCAACGCUGGGACCUGCACAGGAGGACUCUUGUCUCUGAGUCAACCUUCCCUGAGGGACAAUGAGCUGAAAAUACUGUGCUACUGCCCUGUGAAGGAGAGAAAACACAUCAGGGUUCGUCUGUCAGUUUUGGCAAAUGUAGGCUGUGAAGAUCAGUACGGUGGUCAAAUUCAAACCAUCAGUUAUGGAUUCCCAGCAGUACAGAUUCUAACUGGAUCAAAUGCUAAUUGAAAUCAACUUGAAAUAAAAACUGAAAUUGCAUUUUACUUUCAUGCAUAACUUUCUUCUCUGGCUGUUUGGAUGCUGUUAUUGAGCAGAGUAAGUAUAAUUUGUCAUCCUCCUUUAUAUUUGCCAAACCUUAAGAUUCCUGGUAAUGAAUGAAAUUACAUAAAUGUGAGACUAGUACUUUCAAAUUUGCUAGGCAAGUCCUAAAUCUACACAACUAAUUUACCUUCCUGCAUAUUUGCAAUAUUGUGAAAACUGGUGGAAACUGCAUUAUUGAUUGUCCCAAGUGGUCUCCAUGAAAUUAACUUUUCUAAUGGAGGAGAGAAGAAAAUGAAUUGUUUACAAAGGGAACUGUGUAAGUCCUACAAAUAAAAGCUGAAGAGCUACAAUUCUACUUGGAGGAAAAACUCUCUCUCUAAAAAGCAUGUGGGAUUCCACCAAGCAGCCAGGGAAGAUCUAAGGUCACAGAACUGGUUGAGAUGCAUUGAUUUCAUUUCCGGAUUUUUAAUGUUUUAUAUCUAGCCAAUGUAUCAAGCUUUUGCACCUCUCACAAAGGAAAUAUUUAUUGCAUACAUUGAGGGGAAAAUGGCUACCUCAUCUCCAUUGAGUUAGUUAUGUGUAAAUAUUUAACAACAAAUUCUACUUUGAAAAAACAUGAGGAUUCUGUGCUUUAGUGCAGACCUUAUAUUCUGUCCUUUACUUUUAUUACUUAUGUGAAUAUAUGUUUUUCAUACAAGUACACACAUAUGUACAUAUUUUUAGUGACUAAAAGAAAAAUUAAAUCACAGAAAACCAAGACAAAUACAUGUGUCUGGAAAUGUACUGGUUUUUCUCUUACAUACAAGCUCAUUGGAGACUUGGAUCUGAAUAGGUUAUGCCUGGCACACCGCUGAAGCAACACAGCAAGCAAAGAUGCCUUCUGUAACAUCUGUGACACACUCAGUCCCCUAAUUACAUGGUGUGAAUGGGAGGGAUAAUGAUAGACCAUAAUGAUUUUUCUGGAGCUGAUAUGCCAGAGGGGAAAUUUUUUCACAUGCUUCUAAACGAAAGGUGUCUUCAAGGGUCUAGCUUUGCUUCACCAUCAAGUGGGGACUUCCCUUGCAUCAGUACACUGCUAUUCAACUUCUGAUACAUCUUUGAAGUCAAGACUCAGUUUCUUCUGGCAACCACAGAAGUGAUUGACAGAAGUCAAAUUUGUGUAAAUUGUAAAGUAUCAGUGAUAAGUUAUAACUUCAUGCAAAACAUCCUUAGCAGACUUUGUAACAGUCACAAGUAAGUUGAACUGAAGAACGAUCGAGAAGAGAGGAAAGCAUACUGGUUUGAUUUUUUAAAAGGACAGUUAGCAAGUUUGCUAGAUGAUAGGGCUGAUCCUUAACAAGCAGACAUGGUGGCUUUUUGGUAAUUUUUAAAAAAUUUUGUUUCAGAAUAAAUUACUGGAAUUUUAUCUUAGGCUUCAUCCCAUGCUUUAUCCCCACACACUUGUAUGAUUUCUCCAAACCACAAGUUAAUUUCUUAACAGAUGAGCUUUUUAGCUUUCCCUCUUCUCAGAACUCAGACAUUCUAAACCAGAGCCACUCACGUUUCAAGAAGGCCAGACUUUACACUCAUCAGACUUUACACACACUCCUUUACCAGGAAAUACCUUUGUCUUCCUGAAAAGCUCUUCUAAAGCAAUAAGACAACAAGAAGGUUGUGAAUUUGGUGCAAACAGCACAAUGUAGCAGCUCACAUUUCUGAGGUAAAAUUAUGGCUCUUGGUAUUUUCCUAGAAAUUAGCCACAAAAUGACAAUGCAAGUCUGGUCAGCUGGCUGCCUGCUAGAAGAACUGAUACAAAAUCCCAUUGCUGGCCAAAGUGGGCACCCACAGGGAAUGUAAGAGGAGUAAAAGGAGAACUGUGCAGCUUCACUCAAUUGCUGAAGAAUUAAAGGAAAAGAUGGUAUGCAUAAGGUCCAGAAGACAUAGGGAGGAUAUCCUAAUGGCCAAAUUUUGUCUUUGUCAAAGCUCUGGAAAGCAAGGCUGGUUACUGAUGAAGCAAUGAGUGUAUUCAGAGGCAGUGGUUGCCUCAGGGCAACAGCAGCAGUCGCUUCCACCAUUCCUCUGUUGCCCUAAGAGCAUGUGGAGUCUCUUCUAAACUACACCAUAUCUCAUCUACCACUUCUUCUAUCUCUGUCUACCCCUAUCCAGCUUUGACAUCUUCAGGCAAGUACUGGCACUAGGCUGGUCCUCGCUAAGAUGCUGCCUCAGUAAGUCACCAUAGUGAAUGUGGUGGCACUACUCAGAUGUGAGAUGUUCUGAGCCAACAACAAGGGAAGAGUUUUCUGAACAGGCAUGGAAAUGAAACAACGUCCAGUUGCAGAAUACAGAUACAAGGAAAUGACAGCUCCUGGAGAAAGGGAGGCCUACCGGCUAGGUGGUACUUUCAUUACUCAUAACGUAGUUUCAUUAUGUAUGUGGGCCCUUUGCUUUCUCUCACAACUUCCUUUUCAAACGUUGGUGCAAUACACAUGCUAAGAUACCACACUACUACUGCACUGGGAGCAGCCUCCAUGUGACUGCCAGUCUCCUCAGGAUCUGUCCCUUUCUAACCCCUCCACGCAGCUUCCACCAUGUUUGCUGCAGUUUCUAAGAGAGUUCAAAUCUCUUGUCUUCUGAAUCCUUCAGCAAUAACCCUCAGCAAGGCAAAUACAAAGAAAGUUGAAUGAACCCCAACGUAGGCAGCAGGAUUUAGAUACUACUACAGCAGCCCAAGAGAGGAAGGAAGGAAGCACAGGACUUUUAAUCAACUUCUUCUUUUUCACAAGGUCUUCCUGUGAGGGCUUUUGCAGGCCAGCAUUGCAAAGUAGCUACAGUAUCAGGCUGCAGUCUGAUGCAAUUCAUUCACUACACAGGAUUUUCAAACUCCCGGAGUUGAAUAUUAAGUUGGGUACUUCGAAAAUCUUGUUGUGGUAGCAUUUUUCUUCAACUAUUUACAUGGAAGAGACACUACACAACACAGAUGAGUCAACUCCUCUGCAAUAGUUCCUCCAUAAAAGCAAUGGCUGACAGAGGCUGCAAGAUGCCUUGCUUUUGUUUGUUUUGUAAUGCUACCAGGAGUCUUAUUAUUAUUUACUAGGAAUAUUAAAUUAGCAUGUCCCAUGGAGCAAAUCCUACAGCAUCAGAUAUUGAUCAGCUGAAAUUCUGUGACUAGGUUCAUGUUAGAUUUACUGACAGUGGAGGUUCAAAUCCCAAGAAGAUCAGCUUCUCCAUCUUUCAAACUAGAUGUGAGGCUUUUUAUGAAUAUGGCUUCUUUUCCAAUGAAAAGUUUUGAAAAACAGACACUGAAACAUAACUUCAUUGAAAACUGGGAUAAAAUCUUUUGGCUUCUGUUUUAUAGAGUGCAGUCAUGCUUAAGCUGUCUGCAGUAAUUAUGUACACUGUUGCAUAGCCAUUUUAAUUAAUGCUACAUGAUGACUUCUGAUAUUGAAUAAACUGCCUGUAAAAAUGAUGAUUUUUAUGUUUGUGACAGAAACAGUAUCUGAACUAUGUGCAUUGGCUUAAUAAACACAGGCUAUUAAACAGUAAAAGCUGACGAGUGCUUAAACCUUGUACCCUGCCAACCUCAAGGGCAAGUAAAGAUUUCAUGCCCAAGUGAGGGUGUGCCCUUCUGUUGACAAAACAAUGGUUUCAUUUAUUGUCAAUAGUGAAGAUUUACAUCUAAGACUCACAAGUCUUAGUUUCAUUCAAGUUAUUUGGUUUUGAUUCUGGGUCUUACUGAAGACUUUUUCUUGGUUUUCAUGCCUACAGCUGUUUUCCUCUUAGUCCUGUACCAUCUCUGAAGGCAGCAAAGGUCGCUCUUUUUGGAAUAUUGUGUACACAGGGCAAUAAAAGCUCACUUUCUUUUUUCACCGUUGCAUGAAGUCACUUACAUACAAUCAUUUCCCUCCACAUACCCACGGUUUAAGAACCAAAAUUAUUAAGAAGAUUUGGCACAUGUUAUUGUGUGAUCUUGGGAUCUGAGGACAGUGUUAGUCUGUAAUGCCAAAAGCCUGAACUCACACACACUGUGGCUCAACCCUUGGCUCCGCAAAUGUCCCUAACCCACGGGGAAGAGAGGAAACCUUCCCAAGUAGCAUCUCUCACACAUAGCAGCACCGCUACAACUGCCAUGAUUUCUGCCAGAUGCUGCUGGCUCUGAGCCAUCUUCCCUUCUACGUAACGCGCUUAUCUGUUCCCUCAUGCAGAG